AUUGAACGCUGGCGGCAGGCCUAACACAUGCAAGUCGAGCGGAUGAAGGGAGCUUGCUCCUGGAUUCAGCGGCGGACGGGUGAGUAAUGCCUAGGAAUCUGCCUGGUAGUGGGGGAUAACGUCCGGAAACGGGCGCUAAUACCGCAUACGUCCUGAGGGAGAAAGUGGGGGAUCUUCGGACCUCACGCUAUCAGUUGGGCCUAGGUCGGAUUAGCUAGUUGGUGGGGUAAAGGCCUACCAAGGCGACGAUCCGUAACUGGUCUGAGAGGAUGAUCAGUCACACUGGAACUGAGACACGGUCCAGACUCCUACGGGAGGCAGCAGUGGGGAAUAUUGGACAAUGGGCGAAAGCCUGAUCCAGCCAUGCCGCGUGUGUGAAGAAGGUCUUCGGAUUGUAAAGCACUUUAAGUUGGGAGGAAGGGCAGUAAGUUAAUACCUUGCUGUUUUGACGUUACCAACAGAAUAAGCACCGGCUAACUUCGUG
rnacentral:rRNA from 1 species